CACGGGGGGAGCAAGCGUUGUUCGGAAUCACUGGGCGUAAAGGGCGUGUAGGCGGUCAGAUAAGUGGAAUGUGAAAUGCCCCGGCUCACCCGGGGACCGGCAUCCCAAACUGUCUGGCUUGAGUAUGGGAGAGGAUGAGGGAAUUCCUGGUGUAGCGGUGAAAUGCGCAGAUAUCAGGAAGAACACCCGUGGCGAAGGCGGCUCUCUGGGACGGUACUGACGCUGAGGUGCGAAAGCGUGGGGAGCAAACAGG
rnacentral:rRNA from 1 species